UGAGGAAUAUUGGUCAAUGGGCGAGAGCCUGAACCAGCCAUGCCGCGUGCAGGAAGACGGUCCUAUGGAUUGUAAACUGCUUUUAUUUGGGAAUAAACUCUGGUACGUGUACCAGCCUGAAGGUACCAAAUGAAUAAGCACCGGCUAACUCCGUGCCAGCAGCCGCGGUAAUACGGAGGGUGCAAGCGUUAUCCGGAAUCAUUGGGUUUAAAGGGUCCGCAGGCGGUUAUAUAAGUCAGUGGUGAAAGCCUACAGCUCAACUGUAGAACUGCCAUUGAUACUGUAUGACUUGAAUUCGAUCGAAGUGGGCGGAAUAUGACAUGUAGCGGUGAAAUGCUUAGAUAUGUCAUAGAACACCGAUAGCGAAGGCAGCUCACUAGGUCUGGAUUGACGCUCAGGGACGAAAGCGUGGGGAGCAAACA
rnacentral:rRNA from 1 species